rnacentral:misc_RNA from 1 species
GAUGAAGAACGCAGCGAAAUGCGAAAAGUAGUGUGAAUUGCAGAAUUCAGUGAAUCAUCGAAUCUUUGAACGCACAUUGCGCCCGCCAGUAUUCUGGCGGGCAUGCCUGUUCGAGCGUCAUUUCAACCCUCAGGUCCCCCUUUUCGGAGGGGGAGACACCCUGGUGUUGGGGGACGGCAUCCUGGCCCGCUGUCUCACAGUGUGCCACGCCGCCCCCGAAAUGAAUUGGCGGCCUCGUCGCGUGCCACCCCUGCGUAGUAGCACAACCUCGCAACGGGAGCCCGACGCGGCCACUGCCGUAAAACGCCCAACUUUUAAGAGUUGACCUCGAAUCAGGUAGGAAUACCCGCUGAACUUAAGCAUAUCAAUAGGCGGAGGA